GACGAACGCUGGCGGCGUGCCUAAUACAUGCAAGUAGAACGCUGAAGGAGGAGCUUGCUUCUCCGGAUGAGUUGCGAACGGGUGAGUAACGCGUAGGUAACCUGCCUGGUAGCGGGGGAUAACUAUUGGAAACGAUAGCUAAUACCGCAUAAGAGUAGAUGUCGCAUGACAUUUGCUUAAAAGGUGCAACUGCACCACUACCAGAUGGACCUGCGUCGUAUUAUCUAGUUGGUGAGGUAACGGCCCACCAAGGCAACGAUACAUAGUCGGCCUGAUAGGGGUGACCGCCAACCUGGGACUGAGACCCCGCCCAGGAUCCCACGGGGAGCAGCAGUAGGGAAUCUUCGGCAAUGGGCGGAAGUCUUACCGAGCAACGCCGCGGGAGUGAAGAAGGUUUUCGGAUCGUAAAGAUCCGUUGUAAGGGAAGAACGAGUGUGGGAGUGGAAAGUUCACGCUGUGACGGUAUCUAACCAGAAAGCGACGGCUAACUACGUG
rnacentral:rRNA from 1 species